GGGCAUUCGGAAGGCUUGUUAACUAGGCUACUAGCAGAGAACGCUGUUUCUCCAUUAUCGCCUAGGGGAAAGUCCCCGGACACGCGGCAGAAAGUGCCCUGCUUGAUUGCAGUUACGUGGCUUGUGCGUUACUAUCUGUAGCUGAGAUGUUCUGAUGAACUGAGCUUGGUACUCACAGGUCUCCUUUGUCAGUGCGAAAGUCAUGCAAGUGCUAACGCAUCAACAGAACGGGGCUUAUUCUCAGAAUGCU
ensembl:ribozyme RNase_MRP RNase MRP